UACCAGCACCCCGAGUGGUCGGGACGAUUAUUGGGCCUAAAGCAUCCGUAGCCGGUUUUACAAGUCCUCCGUUAAAUCCAGCUGCUUAACAGAUGGGCUGCGGAGGAUACUACAGAGCUAGGAGGCAGGAGAGGCAAGCGGUACUCAGUGGGUAGGGGUAAAAUCCGUUGAUCCAUUGAAGACCACCAGUGGCGAAGGCGGCUUGCCAGAAUGCGCUCGACGGUGAGGGAUGAAAGCUGGGGGAGCAAACCGG
rnacentral:rRNA from 1 species